AGGUGAGGUUUGGCACUUCAAAAUCAAACCAUCAUUUGGACUAAGCAAGGCUGCAACCUUUUAAAGAUAGAUCUACACACCAACCAACAUAGUUGCUAUGCGCGACGAAAGAAAGAAGAUAAGUGAAGGAAUGAAACAUAUAUUCUAUGAAGUAAAAUCUGAAAUAUUAUGUAAAGUAGACUGUGCUUUUGGUUAUAUAGCUGAAACUAACCAAACUUGUUAUAUGUUGGAUAUGUUCCUGUCAUAGUUGCUGGAGUAUUGUCUGUUUGAGCUAUUGAAACCUUUACUGAAGAAGAUGAAAUAUACUCAUUUGCGUAGUUACUGACAGAAUCAGACAAUGACAUUGUUAACCAAUAUAAUUGGGUUCAGAAAAUUCCUCAACGGAGAGAAAUUAAAACCAGAAAGGGAAAGGCUGGCAAAAGAUAAGACGGUGUAUUUUAACCGAACAGAUCAAAUCCCAUGUCCCCAUCAGACUCUUCUGCAGCUUCUUCCUCAACAGCUACUGCCACCACUGCUCCACCAGACUCUCCUGAAACCGGUGCAGCCACUGCAACUGCAAACUUGGUUGGAUCCUGAUCCAUAAAUGUACAGUUAACAAACAAUUUCAUGACUACUAAUCCCAAUAUCUGAAACGCAAAAUGAAAGAGGACAAACCUUUAGGAACUCCUUCACAUUCUCAGCCUGAGGGAAAGAGUACUCAGUAGCUAAGGCAACAGCAAGAACGUUCUUGUAAGCAUUGAGGAACAUGUGAGGCGCAGCUGCUACGGUUGGGUAAGAGAUUGCAAGAGAAAGCGCAGUGAUCAUCGAGACACCAGCUGCAAACUUCUCAACAAGGUCGUCUUCAGUGAGGUUAAGCACUUCAGGGUUAAACACUGACCCAUUAUCGUAGACUGACUCAACAACGAGACCAUACGAAAAGGGCCUGAUUCCAAGCUUGGCAAGAAGCGCAGCCUCGGAUGAACCGACUUUGUCGCCUUUCUUGAUGAGCUCCACAGGGGUUAUGAUCUCAACCGUACCUUUGUUGAUUUUGGUUGGAAUGUUAAGCACCUGGAAGAAGGAGGUCUGUGAAGGGUCAAGACCAGUGUUGCCUGGUUGCACGACCACAUCAAUUGGAGCGACUAAACCUACACGAGCAGGAGCUCCAACCUGUCAAAAAAAGGACAAUGAAUUUCUCAUCAAUUAACAGUACAAGACUAAGUUGAAAAAAUCAAUCAAUCCAACAACAUGAAAGGACGCUACAAAAAUGUGAGCCUAGGAAACUAGUAGACUCUCAAGUAAGUUUCUUGAAUGUGGUUGCGUUUCAAGACAGAAAAUAGAGGUUUUGAGUUCCAAUUUAAACCAAAAUGCAAACUUUAUCACCUAUCCACCUUACAAGUUAAUAACCUAAAGCCAUAGGUUAAAGGAUGAUCAUAAACUGACUAAA